GGAAAGGCUGCGGCUCAGUGGUAGAACCUUUGCUCGGCAUGCAGAAGGUGCCUGGUUCAAUCCCUGAUAUCUCCA
rnacentral:tRNA from 1 species